rnacentral:rRNA from 1 species
UUGUUCGCAAUGGGCGCAAGCCUGACGACGCAACGCCGCGUGGAGGAUGAAGAUCUUCGGGUCGUAAACUCCUGUCGAGCGGGAAGAACACCUGCAUGGCUAACAUCCGUGCAGGCUGACGGUACCGCUAAAGGAAGCCCCGGCUAACUCCGUGCCAGCAGCCGCGGUAAUACGGGGGGGGCAAGCGUUGUUCGGAAUUACUGGGCGUAAAGGGCUCGUAGGCGGCCAACUAAGUCGGACGUGAAAUCCCCAGGCUCAACCUGGGAACUGCGUCCGAUACUGGAUGGCUUGAAUCCGGGAGAGGGAUGCAGAAUUCCAGGUGUAGCGGUGAAAUGCGUAGAUAUCUGGAGGAAUACCGGUGGCGAAGGCGGCAUCCUGGACCGGCAUUGACGCUGAGGAGCGAAAGCCAGGGGAGCAAACGGG